UACGUAGGUGGCAAGCGUUGUCAGGAAUUAUUCGGAGUAAAGAGAGCGCAGGCGGUUCUUUAAGUCUGAUGUGAAAGCCCACGGCUUAAACGUGGAGGGUCAUUGGAAAAUGGGGAACUUGAGUACAGAAGAGGAGAGUGGAAUUCCACGUGUAGCGGUGAAAUGCGUAGAUAUGUGGAGGAACACCAGUGGCGAAGGCGACUCUCUGGUCUGUAACUGACGCUGAGGCGCGAAAGCGUGGGGAGCGAACAGG
rnacentral:misc_RNA from 1 species